UUUUCUAUAGUGUAAUUAAAACACCUGAUUUUUUCAUAAUCAAAAUACUCUAUAAAGUUAGAAAUA
rnacentral:tRNA from 1 species